rnacentral:rRNA from 1 species
GAUGAACGCUGGCGGCGUGCCUAAUACAUGCAAGUCGAGCGAACGGACGAGAAGCUUGCUUCUCUGAUGUUAGCGGCGGACGGGUGAGUAACACGUGGAUAACCUACCUAUAAGACUGGGAUAACUUCGGGAAACCGGAGCUAAUCCCGGAUAAUAUUUUGAACCGCAUGGUUCAAAAGUGAAAGACGGUCUUGCUGUCACUUAUAGAUGGAUCCGCGCUGCAUUAGCUAGUUGGUAGGGUAACGGCUUACCAAGGCAACGAUGCAUAGCCGACCUGAGAGGGUGAUCGGCCACACUGGAACGUAAACGCGGUCCAGACGCCUACGGGAGGCAGCAGUAGGGAAUCUGCCGCAAUGGGCGAAAGCCUGGCGGAGCAACGCCGCGUGAGUGAUGAAGGUCUUCGGAUCGUAAAACUCUGUUAUUAGGGAAGAACAUAUGUGUAAGUAACUGUGCACAUCUUGACGGUACCUAAUCAGAAAGCCACGGCUAACUACGUG